UACAGAGGUCUCGAGCGUUAGGCGGAGUCACUGGGCUUAAAGCGUGUGUAGGUGGAUCGUUAAGUACCUUGUGAAAUCCCACGGCUUAACCGUGGAACUGCUUGGUAUACUGGCGAUCUUGAGCCAGCUAGGGGCUACCGGAACAAAUGGUGGAGCGGUGAAAUGCGUAGAUAUCAUUUGGAACGCCAAUGGUGAAAACAGGUAGCUGGGGGUGUGCUGACACUGAGACACGAAAGCCAGGGGAGCAAACGGG
rnacentral:rRNA from 1 species